rnacentral:rRNA from 1 species
CGCGGCCUAUCAGCUUGUUGGUGGGGUAACGGCCUACCAAGGCAACGACGGGUAGCUGGUCUGAGAGGACGAUCAGCCACACUGGGACUGAGACACGGCCCAGACUCCUACGGGAGGCAGCAGUAGGGAAUCUUGCGCAAUGGGCGAAAGCCUGACGCAGCGACGCCGCGUGCGGGAUGAAGGCCUUCGGGUCGUAAACCGCUUUCAGCAGGGACGAAAUUGACGGUACCUGCAGAAGAAGGCCCGGCCAACUACGUGCCAGCAGCCGCGGUGAUACGUAGGGGUCUAGCGUUGUCCGGAAUCAUUGGGCGUAAAGAGCUCGUAGGCGGUUCGGCAAGUCGGAUGUGAAAUCUCCACGCUCAACGUGGAGGGGCCAUUCGAAACUGCCGUGACUCGAGUCCGGUAGGGGAGUGCGGAAUUCCCGGUGUAGCGGUGAAAUGCGCAGAUAUCGGGAGGAACACCAGUGGCGAAGGCGGCACUCUGGGCCGGAACUGACGCUGAGGAGCGAAAGCGUGGGGAGCGAACAGGAUUAGAUACCCUGGUAGUCCACGCCGUAAACGUUGGGCACUAGGUGUGGGACUCUAUCGACGGGUUCCGUGCCGUAGCUAACGCAUUAAGUGCCCCGCCUGGGGAGUACGG